rnacentral:rRNA from 1 species
AGCAGCCGCGGUAAUUCCAGCUCCAAUAGCGUAUAUUAAAGUUGUUGCAGUUAAAAAGCUCGUAGUUGAAUUUCGAGACCGGUUUACUGGUCGUGCUUUUGUACGUACUGGUAUUAUUGGUUUCUCCUUUCUGACGAAUCAUAAUGCCAUUAAUUUGGUGUUUUGGGGAAUCAGGACUGUUACUUUGAAAAAAUUAGAGUGUUUAAAGCAGGCUCACGCUUGAAUACAUUAGCAUGGAAUAACGAAAUAGGACGUUUGAUUUUAUUUUGUUGGUUUCUAGGAUCGACGUAAUGAUUAAUAGGGAUAGUUGGGGGCAUUAGUAUUCAAUUGUCAGAGGUGAAAUUCUUGGAUUUAUUGAAGACUAACUACUGCGAAAGCAUUUGCCAAGGAUGUUUUCAUUAAUCAAGAACGAAAGUUAGGGGAUCGAAGACGAUCAGAUACCGUCGUAGUCUUAACCAUAAACUAUGCCGACUAGGGAUCGGAUGAUGUUAAUUUUUUAAUGACUCAUUCGGCGCCUUACG